rnacentral:rRNA from 1 species
GGCCGUAAACCCUGUCAUCGGGAGCAAUGCGUUUGGGUCGAACAUCCAAACGUUGAUAGUACCGGAAGAGGAAGGGACGGCUAACUCUGUGC